GGAUGUGAGGGUAAACUGGCUGCAACGUGUCACCCCCACUGAUCUCCAGGGUUGAUUCAGCUGAGCAUGCUGGCUAGGCGAGUAUUCCCUUCCUCUCUCACUGCUCCAUGUGCACCCCUCCCAAAGCUUCGUGCACAAACAAGACGACCACCCCAUAGAGGAGGACCAGUCAAAGGUCUAUGAAUGGCUGCAUUCCCCUGCUAGAACCUCUAAACAAGCUGUCAAAGCAGCUGCGCUAUUUUUACUUUCUCAUUUAUAAGGGUUCCAAUUUCUCCCCACUUUUGUCCACAUUUGGUUUUAUCUCACUUUUUUAUUAUAAACGUGAUAAUAAUU
ensembl:misc_RNA 7SK 7SK RNA